rnacentral:sRNA from 1 species
CUCGAGCGGAAGCGAGAGAACGUUGCCAACGGCAACGGCCCGAAGGGCGCGACGCGCCGAGUCAUCCUUCCCCCACCACAA